AACAUAGUCAUAAAAAGUGAGAAGCUGUACGAUCACGCAUUUGCCUUGCCACAAUCCUCUGAUGUACCUUGAAACAAUAAACUGAAACGGUAAGCCCGAAAGCUUAGUGAGUUACCCCCAAAAUACCGAUACACAUACAAUCCACAUAACCAUGUCAACAAUAUUAUAACAUACAAACUGAACUAGCAUGCAAUGGGUCCACAACUUUACGAGCUGGAUUACCCAUGGGCCUUCAGUACGAGUCUGGAAUGCCUAUCGGGCCCUCAGCUCGUAUCUGGAAUGCCAUCGAGCCCUCAGUACGAGUCCGGAAUGCCUACCGGGCCCUCAACUUGUAUCUGGAAUGCUCUCGAGUCCUUAGUAUGAGUCUGGAAUGCCUUGCCUGGCCCUCAGCUCAUAUCUAGAAUACUCUAGGGUUUGUUGGCUACCGCAAGGAAGCAAAACAACCUCAACCCAUCCCACAUAACAUGUAACAUAUAACAUAACUACUGAUCAUGCAAUAAUCAUAUAACAUCAUAAGUAGUCCUACAGAUCUACCUAACUAGAAUAACCACUAACAUGCAACACUAACUCAUACUCAACAUCUAACACUGCUAGGAUAACAUAUCCAAUGGGCCAACCUUGGUGCAUUAGACCCCUUAGUAUAGUGAGGAUAACUCACCUGAUACUGCUGUAGUCCCACGGAUAUAACUCCAGCUGCUGGUUGACAGACUCUCGAACUGCUAACAUCAAACAAAGCCCAAUUAAUAAUUUGGUUCCAAGCCCAAGUCCAAAUCACACUCCAAAGCCCAAAAGUCAAGUAAUGGGCCAAAGCCCAACAUAUGGCCCAAUUUUCCAAAUUGGGCCCAGACCUCUACAUGGUCUUUCCUUAAGGCCCAUCCAAUUAUUCCAAUCCAAUUCCCAUGGCCCAAUCAUCACAUAAUCAUAAAGGUCCAAUUAUGGCCCAUCUAUGGCCCAAUUUUCCAAAUUGGGCCCAAGUCCUCACAUGGGCCUUAUCCUAAGCCCAUCUAAUCAUUUUGGUCGAUUAACUUGUUCUUGGGUAGCCCAUCAAUAGUUCAAUUGCCACAGCUUAAUAUGAAGGCCCAACUCAAGGCCCGAGUGAGAUUAGGCCUUUCACAUGAAAUGAUGAUUAGGGUUAAGUGUUUCUUACUUAACCCCGAAAGGACUUAAUCCAUUAAGUCUAUUAUUGUUAAGUUAGUUUGCCAAUGCUUUUUAAGGUUUAAUAAUUAAUUCUCGUGUGUGUCUCGAACGAUUCAAACAAUUAGAGUUUUAUGCCGGUAGGGUUUUUUCCAAACCCUAAUUACGGUUUACCAACCCAAUACUAGCCCAUUAGUCCAUUGGUUGAGCUUCUAUGUCACUUUGGGCCUUAUUGGGCCCAUUAGGGUUUUAUUAGGUCCAUUGGGGUGUCCUUGGGCCCACUAGGGUUUAUUUUGGCCCAUUAGGGUUUAGUAGUCAAUUAUCCAAACAACCAAACAAGGCACACCGCCACUCGACACGGCGGCUGGUGGUGGUUUGAGCUUUUCUUUUCAUUAUAUCCACUAUAUUACAGUUUUACAAUGCAAUAUCAAAAGCACACACACUGAGCUACACCCACACAACAAUAAGAUUACACACACACAUAUCCAUGGCGGUCCUUGAGGCGACAGCCACCAUGGCUGGUGGCCAUGGUGGGUCUUUUCUUCAAUAUAUGGCAGUAACAACUCGCAAGGCGUGCGAUGCAACAGUAAACACACACAAGGACCCCGGAACCGCUACACCCCCCCACCAAACAGCUCUUAUCGGUCUUUUAGGGAAAACGGAGCAGAAACGAUAGCGAGUCAUGGCGGUAGCAGCGACGACCGACGGNAACUUCUUUUGGUUCUGGUCUAGUAGCUACAACAGGAAAGGUGGUGACGCAUCUCGGUGGUGAUAGAUCUCAACCAAACGGAUGGAGAAAGAGGAGGAGAAGAAAAAGGAUGACAGAGAGGUGACAGCAGCGCACCCAGCUUCGUCGGGGAGUUCUCGUUAUCGACCGGAGCGGCGGUGGCACUUGGACUUCCACAGAAAAGGUGCAACGGCUGCGAGAGGUGAAAAUCCGGCGACACCCGAAGGUCACCCGCAACCCCCAUCGGUCUUCACUUGCGUUGGCAGCAUCGGCAGCGGCAUCAGACUCGACGGAGGGGGAUAGAGAGGUUGAGAUGAUGGCGGCCGGAGGAGAAGAGAAGGUGGGGUGUCGGCUGAAGUGAGUGCCCGAUUUUAUUAGGGUUU
rnacentral:lncRNA from 1 species